AAUCCCCAAAUGAGGAAACUUUCUAGUACAUAUUGUUGAAAAUCAAGCUUCAUUUCUACUGAAUGCAUUGCAUAUCCUAAAGAGAAGUUGCUUUUAAAAAUAAAUUUCCAAGAUCUGCUUUAAAAAAUAUUUCAUUGGAUUCUUUCUCAUAAAACAGUUUUGGAUAUUUGAACUUUCUGGUUUUGUGGCUUUUGAGUAAAGAGGAGUUUGCCUUAGUGCCUUUAAUUAUGAUUAGGGAGGAUCAUAACUUUUCUUUUUCCUGAGCAGUUAAAAUGUGCCAACAGUAUUCGAGUCUUGACAAGGCUCACCAUUCUUUGCAGAACACCGAAUGAAGGAGCCUUACUUGGUAUCUCAUAAGAUCUCUUUCAUUUUUGAAAGACUAAAGCUUCUGUCAGGCAACUAAUAUUUCAAAGCUGACCCCAGAGGGAAUUUUUUUUUAACCAGCAAAUUAAUAGAUUCAGUGUUAAAGUCUUUAGAAACAUUGUUUUCAUUAUUUAAUAGAAUUAAGGCAGAGUGGCGUUCUCCAUCCUACCCUCACCAAAAACUUUCUUUCAACUUGAUAGUAGAUCUCCAAUAACCUUUCUAAAAGCUUUGUGUAGAAUGUGAGGGCAACAUACGGAGUUUUUUCAUCUCAAACUUAAUAUUGUAGGAUGAAAGAUAGGAAACUUUAAAAAAAAAAAAGUGGCAUUAGAAACUAAACAUUAUGUAAAGACUGCAGUCCCUUGCGUCAGGGGCUUGAAUUGUUUUUGUUUAAAGAUCUACUAAGAAAGAGCUAAGAUUAGCUGGAAUGUUGGUUCCCUCUUUCCUGCUAUCAAGUGUCAGAGAGUUGGUAUUGUUGGGAGAGACUGGAGUUUCAUUUUCCUUGGACACAUACUGAUGACAGCACUACAGAAGCAACUUCACAAGAUCAUAAGGCCUACAAUUGACUCUGCAGUGGCCAAAGGGCAGGACCAAGCUGGUGAUCAGUAUGUCAUUUGGCAUUUGAUUGGCUUGGAGUAAGGGCAGUAAGACUUCUAGCACUGAUCUGAAUUCCU